rnacentral:rRNA from 1 species
UACGAGUGGUGCAAGCGUUAUUCGGAGUGAUUGGGCGUAAAGGGUGUGUAGGUGGUAUGUUAAGUCAAUUGUCAAAUUCCUCAGCUUAACUGAGGCUCGGCAGUUGAAACUGGCGUGCUUGAGGGUGGAAGAGAGAAGUGGAAUUCUCGGAGUAGCGGUAAAAUGCGUAGAUCUCGAGAGGAACACCGAUGGCGAAGGCAGCUUCUUGGUCCACUCCUGACACUGAGGCACGAAAGCGUGGGGAGCAAACAGG